UACGGAGGGUGCAAGCGUUAUCCGGAAUCACUGGGUUUAAAGGGUGCGUAGGCGGUUUGAUAAGUCAGAGGUGAAAGCUAGCAGCUUAACUGUUAAAUUGCCUUUGAUACUGUCAGACUUGAAUCAAGUUGAGGUAGGCGGAAUGUGACAUGUAGCGGUGAAAUGCAUAGAUAUGUCAUAGAACACCAAUUGCGUAGGCAGCUUGCUGGGCUUGAAUUGACGCUGAGCCACGAAAGCGUGGGGAUCAAACAGG
rnacentral:rRNA from 1 species